UACAGAGGUGGCAAGCGUUGUUCGGAUUUACUGGGCGUAAAGGGUCCGUAGGCGGUUUGGAAAGUCGAAUGUGAAAUCCCACAGCUCAACUGUGGAACUGCAUUCGAAACUUCCAGACUUGAGUGUGAGAGGGGUGAAGGGAAUUCCCGGUGUAAGGGUGAAAUCUGCAGAGAUCGGGAGGAACACCUGUCGCGUAGGCGCUUCACUGGCUCACAACUGACGCUGAGGGGCGAAAGCUAGGGGAGCAAACGGG
rnacentral:rRNA from 1 species